UGUUGAUCCUGUUCUCUCCUUUUCAGAUCCGGGUUCUUAAUCAUGGGCAGCAGGUCUGUAGCUAUGAGGAAGAAAAGAGUUUUGGGGAGAAUAAACCCAGAAAAAAAUUGGCAGCUUUCAUGACUUUUUCAGUAGUCCUCCUGAGCUUACCUCCACACUACUUCCUUGAACAUCUCUUUGUCAUAUUCUAAGCCAAGGAUCAGUGAAUUACAGCCAGCUGGGCCAAGAUUGAAAGGAUCUGUAAUUAAUGACUUGAAAAAUACUAAGCUGGAUUUAAAGAAAGAGACCCAAACAGUGGAAAAGCUCUACAUAACUACUCGUCUCCUUUACUUGAAGAAAUGCUGGAGUGCUCUGCAAAAAUUGCUAAGAUACUGAGGCAGUUCCCCCAUUAUCUCAGAGUGUAGUGAUAUAGUGUAAGUGAGCAGAACUGGUUCCAGGAGCCAGAAAUUGACAGAAGAAUACAAAUGCUGAAUUCAUGCCCAAGCAACCUUUCAAAAAAGGUAUGUAAUAAAAGUAUAUGGGUAAGUAUCUUAAAUGAUUCCCACUUCCUUAGGGCUUUUCAAUUUU
rnacentral:lncRNA from 1 species